AGCGAACGCUGGCGGCAGGCCUAACACAUGCAAGUCGAACGAACCUUUCGGGGUUAGUGGCGGACGGGUGAGUAACACGUGGGAACGUGCCUUUAGGUUCGGAAUAACUCAGGGAAACUUGUGCUAAUACCGAAUGUGCCCUUCGGGGGAAAGAUUUAUCGCCUUUAGAGCGGCCCGCGUCUGAUUAGCUAGUUGGUUGAGGUAAUGGCUCACCAAGGCGACGAUCAGUAGCUGGUCUGAGAGGAUGAUCAGCCACAUUGGGUCUGAGACACGGCCCAAAAUCCUACGGGAGGCAGCAGUGGGGAAUCUUGCGCAAUGGGCGAAAGCAUGACGCAGCCAUGCCGCGUGAAUGAUGAAGGUCUUAGGAUUGUAAAAUUCUUUCACCGGGGACGAUAAUGACGGUACCCGGAGAAGAAGCCCCGGCUAACUUCGUG
rnacentral:rRNA from 1 species